rnacentral:tRNA from 1 species
ACUGUGGCUUAGUGGUAAAGCACUUCAUUGGUAAUGAAGAGAGCGGGGGUCCGAUUCCCCUCAGU